rnacentral:rRNA from 1 species
CACGUAGGGUGCGAGCGUUUGUCCCGGAAUUAUUGGGCGGUAAAGAGCUCGUAGGCGGGUCCGUCACGUCGGAUGUGAAAACUCCAGGGCUCAACCCUGGACCUGCAUUCGAUACGGGCGGACUAGAGUUCGGUAGGGGAGACUGGAAUUCCUGGGUGUAGACGGUUGAAAUGUGUAGAGAUCGGGAGGAACACCGGUGGCGAAGGCGGGUCUCUGGGCAAUUCCUGACGCU